CCUCAACCUGAACCUCAACCUGAUCCUGUAACUGCUGCUUUUGUUGUUCGGCGAAAGGGUCACAGUCUCACUUUAAGAACUGCAGGAACCAAACUGAAACGGGAACAACUCAAAACAACUCUGAGCCCUAAAGGACUGGGUUGUUACCUAUCAACCGGUUGGAGGGAUCCAGUUUAAAAAUGUGUUGUUGGGCCCCAGCUGACCCCUCGCCUGCCGCCCUCUAGUCUCCAAACUGGGAAAACUGCUGCUUUUAUCGGAGCUGGCUUCGUGAGGCAUUGUCAUGUUGAAACACACGAGGGACAAACACGAACUGACGACACAGCGAUGGAAGAAGACGGUUGUCGAACAAAGGGGCCUGGACCAAAUAAGGGGAAAAAAAAAAAGUAUUUGGGACAGGGCUGUCCACAUACUUUUGGACAUAUGUCGCCAUACCAACAACUGUAAUGAGUCAUUCUCAGAGCGAUAUCAACAAGAAUGUCGGCACUAGUAUUGGUUGUAUCGCAAACAGGUAAAUCAGUUCUUAUUAUUAGCAUGAUAAGUACUUGCAGUGGUUCCCAGAGUGAUGUAAGUUAAAGGACACUUGUGGUUCGGACAUGUCAGCGAUGGACGGAGG